GAUUUUCUCUCUCUACGAAGAAAUCGGCAAUUUCGCUUAUUUUUGUCGCCUCGUUCGUUCUUCGCUGUUCGUGGGUGUCGCUGAGCCUUCGUGGACGUAUAAAAGAGUGUUUUGGAGAGUUUUUCGCAGCUCUGAACCAGUGAGGUGCUGGUUGGAAGCUUAAGCAGGUUUCUGAACCACGUGAAGCUUAUUUGGUGACCUGGGAGGCUGGUUUAGAAGGUGUUCUAUCCUAAGCGGGAUUGUGAUCGAGCCCUGAAUUGUCUUCGACUGACUUGUGAGGGCUCUUGGAGGUUACAGUUGAGGAGUGGAGCCUUGUUGAGCUGAUUUCUGGGACUUC